rnacentral:rRNA from 1 species
UACGUAGGGCGCGAGCGUUGUCCGGAAUCAUUGGGCGUAAAGAGCUCGUAGGCGGCCUGUCGCGUCUGCUGUGAAAUCCCGGGGCUCAACCCCGGGCGUGCAGUGGAUACGGGCUGGCUGGAGGCAGGCAGGGGAGAACGGAAUUCCCGGUGUAGCGGUGAAAUGCGCAGAGUAUCGGGAGGAACACCGGUGGCGAAGGCGGUUCUCUGGGCCUGACUGACGCUGAGGAGC